UUAAUGAGAGUUUGAUCCUGGCUCAGGACGAACGCUGGCGGCGUGCCUAAUACAUGCAAGUAGAACGCUGAAGAGAGGAGCUUGCUCUUCUUGGAUGAGUUGCGAACGGGUGAGUAACGCGUAGGUAACCUGCCUUGUAGCGGGGGAUAACUAUUGGAAACGAUAGCUAAUACCGCAUAACAAUGGAUGACACAUGUCAUUUAUUUGAAAGGGGCAAUUACGAUACAUAGCCGACCUGAGAGGGUGAUCGGCCACACUGGGACUGAGACACGGCCCAGACUCCUACGGGAGGCAGCAGUAGGGAAUCUUCGGCAAUGGGGGCAACCCUGACCGAGCAACGCCGCGUGAGUGAAGAAGGUUUUCGGAUCGUAAAGCUCUGUUGUAAGUCAAGAACGGGUGUGAGAGUGGAAAGUUCACACUGUGACGGUAGCUUACCAGAAAGGGACGGCUAACUACGUGCCAGCAGCCGCGGUAAUACGUAGGUCCCGAGCGUUGUCCGGAUUUAUUGGGCGUAAAGCGAGCGCAGGCG
rnacentral:rRNA from 1 species